CUGACACAGGUGCUGCAUGGCUGUCGUCAGCUCGUGUCGUGAGAUGUUGGGUUAAGUCCGUAACGAGCGCAACCCUUGUCCUUAGUUACCAGCACGUUAUGGUGGGCGACUCUAAGGAGACUGCCGGUGGCAAACCGGAGGAAGGUGGGGAGUGACGUCAAGUCAUCAUGGCCCUUACGGCCUGGGCUACACACGUGCUACAAUGGUCGGUACAAAGGGUUGCCAAGCCGCGAGGUGGAGCUAAUCCCAUAAAACCGAUCGUAGUCCGGAUCGCAGUCUGCAACUCGACUGCGUGAAGUCGGAAUCGCUAGUAACCGUGAAUCAGAAUGUCACGGUGAAUACGUUCCCGGGCCUU
rnacentral:rRNA from 1 species